GGCAUCUUUGGAAAAGAAGAAGCGUGGAAUUUACUCCACUGGGAGCUGGAAGUCACUGCCUUGGAAAUCAGGUUAUUGGAAGUGUUUUUGUCACCCUGUUUUCACUUUUUCAAACUCACAGCCUUCUGAAUGCUGACUUUCAUCCUGACUUUGAAUCCUGCUUUUAUGACACAAUGGUCCAACCAGAAUGGACCCAGCAGACUCUGACCCUGUUGAGCGUGUCCUAUCACUUAAGGCAGGGGUGUCAAACUCCAGGCCUCGGGGGCCAGCGUCCUGCAGGUUUUAGAUAUCACCCUGGGUCAACACACCUGAAUCAAAUUAGUUCAUUACCAGGCCUCUGGAGAACUUCAAGAGAUGUUGAGGUUAUUUAGCCAUUUAAAUCAACUGUGUUGGAUCAAGGACACACCUAAAACCUGCAGGACACCGGCCCUCGAGGCCUGGAGUUUGACACCUGUGACUUAAGGGGAACCAAUUGGAUAGACACGAAAAAAUGCUGCAACACAUCUCCAAGGACCAGAGCUCCACGCAACAACUCUUCAUGGAAAUAAAAGGAGUUAUCUUCUGUAGUCAUGGUAAGCUGUCUGGACCAGAGUUAGUGGUAAGAGUCAGCCCGGGCGAUAACAUCACUCUUCACUGUGACUGCCAAAGAUCAAGCGGCAAAUUCAUAGCUUGGUUUAGGAACUGUUCUCAUGAGAACCAGCCUUCACUCAUUCUAAGGACAAACUACAAAUAUGACCCAUCAUACCUUGAGGACAAAGUAAACAUUCUCAAUCCAGUCCCUCGUUUGUAUUUGGUGAAAAACCAGUCUUCUGACUCCUAUGACCUGUUGAUCAUGAACACUAUUGAUUCUGAUGAGGGUCUCUUUUUGCACAGACUCCACUGAUUCCAGCCCUUGCCCUGGUUCCAGUGUUGUGUUUUGGAUGAUGGUGUUUACUCCCGCAUUCUCUAUUUUGGCUUCCUUUGUCUCCUUUAUUUUGGUUUAUCAACUCUGUCAGAAUAAAGGUACACUAUUUCAUUAUACACAAGCCCAAACUGUAUUUUUUUUCUUUAUGAAAACAAUAUACAGUGUAUUAGUUAGCAAACUAAAUUAGCAACAAUUAAAUGCUCAAAGGUGAUGGUCUUUAUUUGUUUAUGCAGAAAAAGGUCAUCAACAGAAAAGGCCAGAUAACAGACGUCAAAGAAGACAGAAUCGGGUAAGACUAGGAAAAUUGUUUUACUAAUCUACAUUUCACUUAAGACACAUCACUUGUAUCUAUGUUUGUUUAACGAUAGCGAUACAUUCCACUCAAACAUGCCACUCAGUGUUUUAAAAUGCCAAGUCUUUGUAGUCAUUCAUUAAGUAAUUACUUACAGAAGAAAUAAUGAUUCUAAAUGACAAAUUGUUUCUCAGGAUGAAGACUUGUAUUUAACACAAGCUGUGUACUGGGUUCAGCGGGGACGUAUGCAUCAGACUGAUUCUAGAUGGAGAGAGCCUGUACACUUUGUUUCAAAAGAAUACAUGUAAAUUUCUUUCAGAAACCAUGAGAUUUUUUGCUGAUACAUUUUAUAUACAUGAAGUUAUUUUGGAUACACAGUAUUCUAUAUCAAAGUCAAUGAUGUAUUUAAAAACACUGAAAAAUUAGGUACAACUUACAUACUAACAACCACAUGAGUUGUCUAUCAUCAUCAUUAUUAAGCUGUUUAUGACGUUUGGCUCUCAGCGAAGGCGGUCGGACUUUUCUCCUCUCCUCCUUCCCCUAUCUUCCCUGCUUAGCCGCUUAUGUCCUUGUCUUGUCUCAUCUUUUUCUUACUUCCCUGGAACACUGUCUCACAGUCGGUGUCUAAAACCUAAAGAGAACUAUUGAUUUGAUCAACUGGUCUCUGAAUGCUAUUGACACCCUCUUCUCAACGAGAAGUUUGGGCUCGGGAGAGCCUGAGUGCCCUGGUGGGA
rnacentral:lncRNA from 1 species